AGCGAACGCUGGCGGCAUGCCUUACACAUGCAAGUCGAACGGUAACAGGUCUUCGGAUGCUGACAAGUGGCGAACGGGUGAGUAAUACAUCGGAACGUGCCUAGUAGUGGGGGAUAACUACUCGAAAGAGUGGCUAAUACCGCAUGAGAUCUACGGAUGAAAGCAGGGGAUCGCAAGACCUUGUGCUACUAGAGCGGCCGAUGGCAGAUUAGGUAGUUGGUGGGAUAAAAGCUUACCAAGCCGACGAUCUGUAGCUGGUCUGAGAGGACGAUCAGCCACACUGGGACUGAGACACGGCCCAGACUCCUACGGGAGGCAGCAGUGGGGAAUUUUGGACAAUGGGCGCAAGCCUGAUCCAGCAAUGCCGCGUGCAGGAUGAAGGCCUUCGGGUUGUAAACUGCUUUUGUACGGAACGAAAAGCCCUGGGUUAAUACCCUGGGGUCAUGACGGUACCGUAAGAAUAAGCACCGGCUAACUACGUGCCAGCAGCCGCAGUAACAC
rnacentral:rRNA from 1 species